rnacentral:lncRNA from 12 species
AUGGACAUGACCCGACCCCUCAUCCGCACAAAAAACGAGGACGGAGACCAUCCUGCCCCCCAUAGAGGAGGAGCGGCAACGAAGGGCGCGGAGACCCCACCAGAGACUGCUCCGCUCCACGGAGAGCACCCCCACCUACACCAAGAAAGGAUGGACACGACGAGACACCCCGGUCCUCCCUCGGGGCGAGGACGACGGACCGCGACAGAGCAUCGCCCGGGGCAACGAGGGACACGGACAGAGCAUCCCCCGGGGCGACAAAGACAGCACGGCCUGGCAAAGGUAAGGUGGAUGGAGAGCACACCGGCCCCCCCAAAUGGGAGAGGGUCGGACACCGCCCCGGCUCAACAAAGGCAAGGACAGACAAGCACCGGGACAGCGAGGGACCGCGCCGGCCCCCCCACAUCGGAGGGGUUUGGCCAUCGCCCCGGUUCAAAACAGCUAAAGACCAAAUAAAGUUGGCAAAAAUCACAUCAAGUGCUGUGCCUGAUCUCUGCUCUCCCAAUGAGUCACUCGCCACCCAAACCACGGUCAAAGCCGCCCCCGCCCCGCGCAGAGGAGCACGGAGACCCUCGGGCGGGCGGGGAGCGCGGGGGGGCCGGGGGUGUCUCCGUCCCCCUCCUCCCUGGGCGGUGCUGGGGGGUUUCAGGGCUCUCCUGGCGGGAAUGGCGGGGCUGGGGGUCUCUGGCUGUGUCACACCAGGGGGUGCUCAGGGUGCUCACCCCAGGGUGAGAGGGACAGACACCCUGCGCUGUCCCCAGAGGGAUGGGCUUUGAGGUCCCUUCCAGCCCAAACCAUUCCAAGAUCAGAUCGGAAGAGCGGUUCAGCAGGACCCCCCCCCCCCCCCCCCCCCCCCCCCCCCCCCCCCCCC